UACGUAGGGGGGCAAGCGUUGUCCGGAUUUAUUGGGCGUAAAGAGCGUGUAGGCGGCUUGUCACGUCGGCUGUGAAAACCCGGGGCUCAACCCCGGCCUGCAGUCGAUACGGGCAGGCUAGAGUUCGGUAGGGGAGACUGGAAUUCCCGGUGUAGUGGUGGAAUGCGUAGAUAUCGGGAGGAACACCAGUGGCGAAGGCGGAUUGACCUGGAGCUUUGCUGACUGCUGAUGC
rnacentral:rRNA from 1 species